AGUGAACGCUGGCGGUAGGCCUAACACAUGCAAGUCGAACGGCAGCACAGUAAGAGCUUGCUCUUACGGGUGGCGAGUGGCGGACGGGUGAGGCAUACAUCGGAAUCUACUUUUUCGUGGGGGAUAACGUAGGGACACUUACGCUAAUACCGCAUACGACCUACGGGUGAAAGCAGUGGAUCUUCGGACCUUGCGCGAUUGAAUGAGCCGAUGUCGGAUUAGCUAGUUGGCGGGGUAAAGGCCCACCAAGGCGACGAUCCGUAGCUGGUCUGAGAGGAUGAUCAGCCACACUGGAACUGAGACACGGUCCAGACUCCUACGGGAGGCAGCAGUGGGGAAUAUUGGACAAUGGGCGCAAGCCUGAUCCAGCCAUACCGCGUGGGUGAAGAAGGCCUUCGGGUUGUAAAGCCCUUUUGUUGGGAAAGAAAAGCAGCAGGUUAAUACCCCGCUGUUCUGACGGUACCCAAAGAAUAAGCACCGGCUAACUUCGUG
rnacentral:rRNA from 1 species